UGCGUAGGCGGCUUAUUAAGUCAGAUGUGAAAGCCCCGGGCUUAACCUGGGAACUGCAUUUGAUACUGGUAAGCUAGAGUAUGGUAGAGGGGGGUAGAAUUCCUAGUGUAGCGGUGAAAUGCGUAGAUAUUAGGAGGAAUACCAGUGGCGAAGGCGGCCCCCUGGACCAAUACUGACGCUGAGGUACGAAAGCGUGGGUAGCGAACA
rnacentral:rRNA from 1 species